rnacentral:rRNA from 1 species
UACGUAGGGGGCAAGCGUUGUCCGGAUUUAUUGGGCGUAAAGAGCGUGUAGGCGGUUCGGUAGGUCCGUUGUGAAAACUCGAGGCUCAACCUCGAGACGCCGAUGGAAACCCUCGAACUAGAGUCCGGAAGAGGAGAGUGGAAUUCCUGGUGUAGCGGUGAAAUGCGCAGAUAUCAGGAGGAACACCCGUGGCUAAGGCGGCUCUCUAGUACGGUACUGACGCUGAGACGCGAAAGCGUGGGGAGCGAACAGG